GCGUAAUUUAGGCAUAUUACUAAGCGGAGGAAAAGAAACCAACGGGGAUUCCCAUAGUAACUGCGAGUGAAAGGGGAAAAGCCCAGCGCCGAAUCCUGCUGCUGGUGACGGUGGCAGGAACUGUGGCGUGAAGAAGGUGUCUAUCGGUGUGRCUUGCUCGCGUAAGUUCUCCUGAGUGAGGCUCCAUCCCAUGGAGGGUGCAAGGCCCGUGUCGUGAGCAGCCGUCACCGAUGCGCACUUUCAGAGAGUCGCCUUGUUUGCGAGUACAAGGUGAAGUCGGUGGUAAACUCCAUCGAAGGCUAAAUAUGACCACGAGUCCGAUAGCGAACAAGUACCGUGAGGGAAAAUUGAAAAGCACUUUGAAGAGAGAGCGAAACAGUGCGUGAAACCGCUCAGAGGUAAGCAGAUGGGGCCUCGAAGGCAGAGCGUCGAAUUCAGCCGGUUGUCCGUGCGGUUGGCUGGGAUUGGAGAGCGUAAGCCUCUGCCUAGCUGAUUGGUACGGCUGCCGGUGCACUUUCGGCGCUUGUACGCCACCGCCGUUGAGGAGCGUCCGUCGGACUGGCAUGUGGAGCCUUACUCUCGCAAGAGCGUAGGUGUCUCACGGCUAGUCUGUACGCGUUCGCACCUCAACCGGUCAAGUCAGCAUGUGCCAGCGUUUGCGCUGGGUCGGUCGGCUCCGGUCGGGCUGUAUGGAGAUGGCGAGCUUGCUCGACUCUUCUGCACYUGAUGGAAUCCGUGCUGGCUUUCAGCGUGGCACAUUGUAGAUUCGGUGGCGAGUAGACGGCUGCCC
rnacentral:rRNA from 1 species